GACAGAGGGUGCAAACGUUGUUCGGAAUUACUGGGCGUAAAGCGUGUGUAGGCGGUCUGCUAAGUCGGGUGUGAAAGCCCCGGGCUCAACCUGGGAAUGGCAUUGGAAACUGGCCAGCUGGAGUGUGGCAGAGGGGGGUGGAAUUCCGCGUGUAGCAGUGAAAUGCGUAGAGAUGCGGAGGAACACCGAUGGCGAAGGCAGCCCCCUGGGCCAACACUGACGCUCAGGCACGAAAGCGUGGGGAGCAAACAGG
rnacentral:rRNA from 1 species